rnacentral:rRNA from 1 species
UACGAAGGGGGCUAGCGUUGUCCGGAAUUAUUGGGCGUAAAGAGCUCGUAGGCGGUCUGUCGCGUCUGCUGUGAAAACUCGGGGCUUAACCCCGGGCCUGCAGUGGGUACGGGCAGACUAGAGUGCGGUAGGGGAGACUGGAAUUCCUGGUGUAGCGGUGAAAUGCGCAGAUAUCAGGAGGAACACCGGUGGCGAAGGCGGGUCUCUGGGCAGUAACUGACGCUGAGGAGCGAAAGCGUGGGGAGCGAACAGG